rnacentral:rRNA from 1 species
GACAGAGGGUGCAAACGUUGUUCGGAAUUACUGGGCGUAAAGCGCGUGUAGGCGGCCCUGCAAGUCGGAUGUGAAAUCCCACGGCUCAACCGUGGAAGUGCAUUCGAAACUGCAGGGCUAGAGUCCUGGAGAGGAAGGUGGAAUGCUUGGUGUAGAGGUGAAAUUCGUAGAUAUCAAGCGGAACACCGGUGGCGAAGGCGGCCUUCUGGACGAUGACUGACGCUGAGGCGCGAAAGCGUGGGGAGCAAACAGG